rnacentral:rRNA from 1 species
CCUACGGGUGGCAGCAGUGGGGGAUCUUGCACAAUGGGGGGAACCCUGAUGCAGCGACGCCGCGUGGGGGAAGGAGUGUUUCGGCGCGUAAAGCCCUAUCGGCAGGGAAGAAGGAGGAAGGUACCUGACUAAGAAGCCCCGGCUAACGACGCGCCAGCAGCCGAGGUAAUACGAAGGGGGCAAGCGUUAUCCGGAUAUACUGGGUGUAAAGGGGGCGCAGACGGCAGCGCAAGCCAGGGGUGAAAGCCCGGGGCCCAACCCCGGGACUGCUCUUGGAACUGCGCGGCUGGAGUGCAGGAGGGGCAGGCGGAAUUCCUGGUGUAGCGGUGAAAUGCGUAGAUAUCGGGAGGAACACUGGUGGCGAAGGCGGCCUGCUGGACUGCGACUGACGUUGAGGCCCGAAAGCGUGGGGAGCGAACGGGAUUAGAUACCCCUGUAGUC